GGCCGGAUAAGGCGCUUGCGCCGCAUCCGGCAGUCGUGCACCGACGCCUGAUGCGACGCUGACGCGUCUUAUCAGGCC
rnacentral:ncRNA from 1 species